CAGUUCGGUCCCUAUCCGUCGCGGGCGCAGGAAWUUUGAGAGGAGCUGUCCUUAGUACGAGAGGACCGGGAUGGACACACCGCUGGUGUACCAGUUGUUCCGCCAGGAGCAUCGCUGGGUAGCUAUGUGUGGCAGGGAUAAACGCUGAAAGCAUCUAAGCGUGAAGCCCCCCUCAAGAUGAGAUUUCCCAUUUCUUCGGAAAGUAAGAUCCCUGAAAGAUGAUCAGGUAGAUAGGUUUGGAGUGGAAGUGUAGCGAUACAUGGAGCGGACAAAUACUAAUCGAUCGAGGACUUAACCAAAA
rnacentral:rRNA from 1 species